AGUACCGACGAAGCGCCGAUGAUGGUGGUGACGGUAGGUACAGAAGAAGCACCGGCCAACUACGUGCCAGCAGCCGCGGUAAUACGUAGGGUGCGAGCGUUGUCCGGAAUUAUUGGGCGUAAAGGGCUCGUAGGCGGUUUGUCGCGUCGGGAGUGAAAACACCGGGCUUAACUCGGUGCUUGCUUUCGAUACGGGCAGACUAGAGGCAUGCAGGGGAGAACGGAAUUCCUGGUGUAGCGGUGAAAUGCGCAGAUAUCAGGAGGAACACCGGUGGCGAAGGCGGUUCUCUGGGCAUGUCCUGACGCUGAGGAGCGAAAGUGUGGGGAGCGAACAGGAUUAGAUACCCUGGUAGUCCACACCGUAAACGUUGGGCGCUAGGUGUGGGAUCCAUUCCACGGGUUCCGUGCCGCAGCUAACGCAUUAAGCGCCCCGCCUGGGGAGUACGGCCGCAAGGCUAAAACUCAAAGGAAUUGACGGGGGCCCGCACAAGCGGCGGAGCAUGCGGAUUAAUUCGAUGCAACGCGAAGAACCUUACCUGGGUUUGACAUACGCCGGAAAGCGCCAGAGAUGGUGCCCCUUUUUGUCGGUGUACAGGUGGUGCAUGGCUGUCGUCAGCUCGU
rnacentral:rRNA from 1 species